rnacentral:misc_RNA from 1 species
GUGAAUCAUCAAAUCUUUGAACGCAAAUUGCACUCUCUGGUAUUCCGGGGAGUAUGCUUGCUUGAGGGUUAGUUUGUUACAAUUGUAAAAAGAAAUUUUUAUGGAACUGGAUUUUCUAAAAGCUAUAUUUUUGGUAACUUAAAAUAUAUCAUCACAAUAGGUGAUAUUGGAAACGCUUAUUUUUGUUUUAUUAACAAUUAUUACUAAAUUUGUUAUGUCGUGUUAUUUUCUUAAUUUCUUAUUUAGGUACAAGCAAUACAAUUUUUUUUAUGAUAUCUGACCUUAAGUUAAGUAAGAAUA